GUACACUCCUACGGGAGGCAGCAGUGGGGAAUAUUGGACAAUGGGCGCAAGCCUGAUCCAGCCAUGCCGCGUGAGUGAUGAAGGCCCUAGGGUUGUAAAGCUCUUUCACCGGAGAAGAUAAUGACGGUAUCCGGAGAAGAAGCCCCGGCUAACUUCGUGCCAGCAGCCGCGGUAAUACGAAGGGGGCUAGCGUUGUUCGGAAUUACUGGGCGUAAAGCGCACGUAGGCGGAUCGAUCAGUCAGGGGUGAAAUCCCAGGGCUCAACCCUGGAACUGCCUUUGAUACUGUCGAUCUGGAGUAUGGAAGAGGUGAGUGGAAUUCCGAGUGUAGAGGUGAAAUUCGUAGAUAUUCGGAGGAACACCAGUGGCGAAGGCGGCUCACUGGUCCAUUACUGACGCUGAGGUGCGAAAGCGUGGGGAGCAAACAGGAUUAGAUACCCCGGUAGUCCCAUGAU
rnacentral:rRNA from 1 species